rnacentral:misc_RNA from 1 species
GGUAUUUAGCCGAGAAUGCGGCCCCAGUGGCCACCGGGAUGCCCUCGCCGAUGAACGCAAAUCCACCGAGCAAAUUGUGAGGGGCGGAAAACAUAUGCAUAGAUCCGCCCUGCCCCCGGCAGCAGCCGGUGGCCUUCCCGAAGAGCUCGGCCAUAACGGCGCGAGCCGGAACGCCCUUGCUGAGCGCAUGGACGUGGUCUCUGUAGGUGCUGACGACGGAGUCCCGGCCCUCGAGGAGGCGGAUGAAUCCGGUGGAGACGGCCUCCUGGCCGUUGUAGAGGUGGACGAACCCGAACAUCUUGCCGCGGUAGUACAUCUGGGCGCACAUGUCCUCGAAGGUUCGGCCGAGCACCAUGUCCUCGUACAGAUCUAGGGCUUCCUCGCGGGUGACCGCCGGUGCCUCGUGGGAGAGGGGGGCGAUGGAGCCGAGCUUCUGAUCGCUGCUGAUUACGUUGGAGGAGAGGGAGCGGCGGUGGGGGGAGGCGGCGGAGAGAAGGGGGCGGGGGAGGCGGGAUGCGGAGGACGGGAGGAGGAAGGGGGCGGAGGGC